rnacentral:tRNA from 1 species
GCGUUGAUGGUGAAAUGGUUGAUACGUGGGACUCAAAAUCUCAUGCUAAACAGCGUGGAGGUUCGAAUCCUCUUUUAAGGUA